GAGAAGAAGAUACAUUCUUUGUAGAAAUGUCAUCUCCAUGAUGUCUGCAACUUGCCUUGGAGCCUUCCAAAGGAGGUGGACAGGCCACCCACACAGGAAACCCUGGAUGAGCGGAGGGUCAUCCCAGCGCCGUCGCCUGGCCACUUCAGGGAAGCAGAGAGAAGCUCCAUAAUGACAAGGGCUGUCUCCAGGCUCCAUCCUAGAAACUGGAUCGCUCUCUGUGGAGCAGCUCAACACCAACAAGAUGACAGUGGCCUGAGAGCAUUUCCCACGAAAACGAUCUUUGUUCACAAUUUACAUACAUCACUCCAAAGGUCCUCCUCCCACCCACACCUGGCCACACCCACCUCCCCCACCUCCCUAACCCCCCACAAUCCCGCUCCCCCUCCCCACCCUGGUGGUCCUGCCCACCCUCCC